AUUGAACGCUGGCGGCAUGCCUUACACAUGCAAGUCGAACGGCAGCAUGAUCUAGCUUGCUCGAUUGAUGGCGAGUGGCGAACGGGUGAGUAAUACAUCGGAACGUGCCCUGUAGUGGGGGAUAACUAGUCGAAAGAUUAGCUAAUACCGCAUACGACCUGAGGGUGAAAGUGGGGGACCGCAAGGCCUCAUGCUAUAGGAGCGGCCGAUGUCUGAUUAGCUAGUUGGUGAGGUAAAGGCUCACCAAGGCGACGAUCAGUAGCUGGUCUGAGAGGACGAUCAGCCGCACUGGGACUGAGACACGGCCCAGACUCCUACGGGAGGCAGCAGUGGGGAAUUUUGGACAAUGGGCGAAAGCCUGAUCCAGCAAUGCCGCGUGUGUGAAGAAGGCCUUCGGGUUGUAAAGCACUUUUGUCCGGAAAGAAAUGGCUCUGGUUAAUACCUGGGGUCGAUGACGGUACCGGAAGAAUAAGGACCGGCUAACUACGUG
rnacentral:rRNA from 1 species